GACGAACGCUGGCGGCGUGCCUAAUACAUGCAAGUCGAGCGAGUCUGCCUUGAAGAUCGGAGUGCUUGCACUCUGUGAAACAAGAUACAGGCUAGCGGCGGACGGGUGAGUAACACGUGGGUAACCUGCCCAAGAGAUCGGGAUAACACCUGGAAACAGAUGCUAAUACCGGAUAACAACAGAUGAUGCCUAUCAACUGUUUAAAAGAUGGUUCUGCUAUCACUCUUGGAUGGACCUGCGGUGCAUUAGCUAGUUGGUAGGGUAACGGCCUACCAAGGCGAUGAUGCAUAGCCGAGUUGAUAGACUGAUCGGCCACAUUGGAACUGAGACACGGCCCAAACUCCUACGGGAGGCAGCAGUAGGGAAUCUUCCACAAUGGACGCAAGUCUGAUGGAGCAACGCCGCGUGAGUGAAGAAGGGUUUCGGCUCGUAAAGCUCUGUUGUUGGUGAAGAAGGACAGGGGUAGUAACUGACCUUUGUUUGACGGUAAUCAAUUAGAAAGUCACGGCUAACUACGUG
rnacentral:rRNA from 1 species